GACGAACGCUGGAGGCGUGCUUAACACAUGCAAGUCGAACGAUGAAAUGGAGCUUGCUCCAUGGAUUAGUGGCGAACGGGUGAGUAACACGUGAAUAACCUGCCCUUAAUUUUGGAAUAACCCAGGGAAACCUGGGCUAAUACCGGAUAAGUAAACCUGUGGCAUCACAUGGUUUUGGAAAGUUUUUCGAUUAAGGAUGGAUUCGCGGCCUAUCAGCUUGUUGGUGAGGUAAUGGCUCACCAAGGCGACGACGGGUAGCCGGCCUGAGAGGGGGAACGGCCACACUGGGACUGAGACACGGCCCAGACUCCUACGGGAGGCAGCAGUGGGGAAUAUUGCGCAAUGGACGAAAGUCUGACGCAGCGACGCCUCGUGAGGGACGAAGGUCUUCGGGUUGUAAACCUCUUUCAGCAGGGACGAAGCGAAAGUGACGGUACCUGCAGAAGAAGCACCGGCUAACUAUGUGCCAGCAGCCGCCGUAA
rnacentral:rRNA from 1 species